rnacentral:lncRNA from 1 species
UUUUUUUUAGACAAGUCAGCGUUGAAGGGUCACACAAAUUCAGUGACUAAACUGUGUUUCUAGAUUUCUAGGUGUGAAGCCCAGUGGAAAGUGGUUGUGUUUACUACUCACACUGCACCAUCUUCGAUGGCUUUGUUUCUAUUUGUGCUUUUUGGACAAGCAUUAAGCUCCGUAGACAAUCAGCCUUAGUGAUCUACUGGAAUAAUAUUUCAAGUAAGU